rnacentral:rRNA from 1 species
GGAAGAUAAUACGCAUAAGAUUGUAGUAUCGCAUGAUAUAGCAAUUAAAGGAGCAAUUCGCUAUAAGAUGGACCCGCGUCGCAUUAGCUAGUUGGUGAGGUAAUGGCUCACCAAGGCGACGAUGCGUAGCCGACCUGAGAGGGUGAUCGGCCACAUUGGGACUGAGACACGGCCCAGACUCCUACGGGAGGCAGCAUG